UUGGUGAAUGUUUUCUUCCCUCUGUUUUCAUGUGAAUCCUCCAAGUUUGGAAGUGGGGAAGACGUCCUGCGGGUAACCCUUUCACUUCGUUUUCUUCUUUGUUCCUUCUACCAAUUUGGAGCUUUCGUCUAUCCAGAUCCCAACGAUCCUUCACGCAGUUUUUUAAGCGAUUCACGGUCGUGGGUGCUCACCGAGGGGUUCAGUCCGACUACCUCAUAGUUUCGGCGAGAAACUCUGAAUAGUUUUUGUGACUUGGACUUUGAGGAAUUCAGGUAAGGCUUUUCGGCAGAGUAACAGUAGGGUCCCCCUCUCUAGAUGACUCUCAACCUUUAUUUAUAGAGUCUUCUCCUCGGAUCCUCAAAUCAUGAGCUGUCAAUAUCUAUCCAAAAUCAUUCCGUUAGGAGAGAAUUUUCUCAGAGAUUUGGUGGGGACCAGGGCGAUUGUCACAGGUAAAUUUCUCUUUGUCUGUAGUGUAGCCUUCCAGUCUUCUAGAAACUGUGGUCCCUCAUUUGAUGCAGGUGGCAAGGUGAGAUUGUUUUGUUGGUAAGAUCCCCCAAAGAAUGCGUGACCAUUUUGUGUUGAAUCUUUUAUUAAGCUCUUACUGCUGUAACUCUUAUUUUUGUUGCGGUAAGAAACUUAUUUUCACUGUCAUGUACAUUCAAACUUUUAAAUGACGUUCAAUUCAAAAAGACUCUAUUAUGCUGUCAUGUGUUUUUCAGCUCACAUUUUCAACCUGUGCUUGUCGUAGGUAUAAAGGGCAACAAGAUAUCCGCUCAAUUUCGAUUUGGUUUGGAAAAGUUAUGUUGUGAAUCCGGGGUCUACAUUGCUCUGAUGUCUUGGAUUUGGAGGUGAAACAGAAAGACUUGCAUGCUUUGGCUUGCGUUUUGGACUUUUGGAGAUGAGAGUGUGAGCAUUAUUGUUUUAAUGCAGAGUGGCCUUUGUUGACUGAUAUAUCAGGGCGGUUUUGGUGCUGUUAUGCUGACAUAAGUUGGCGGGUAACUUUAAGUUCCACGAUUUAACUUAUGUUUUGAAAGUAGGAGCAGCGACUGGUUUUGAAAGUGCAUCAUCUACCUUCUCCGCAGGAGGUUUCGGCAUUGAUAACAAGCUUGGACUGAUAGCAUGUUUGGAUCGUGCAUAAGUUCCCUAAUUGUGUGUGUUCCUGAGUCCGUUUGAAUCAAUUGGAGAAAUCAUGAAUGCAUUUAUUUGUAUGGCAUGUUGUUGGCUUUUGGACUCUGUAGAUUGCAUCAUGCUGUUAGAAGGUACCCUGCAGGCUUUAGAACGAACUUGUAACAGUCUGUAGAAAUAAGUGCAGGGAAAAGCCGGGCAAGCAUCAUGGCAAAGGGAUAUGUACUUUCCAAUUUGAAGCUUAUUCUUGUCGUUUUGACUUGAUUGUAAUGUAAUCUUAGAUCAUAAGGUUGGGACUUGCGUGAACCAUGAAGUUUAACCAUACAAAUUGUAAAUUUAUGCUCGUAUUAAUAAAACUUAGGAACAUCAUGCCCAUUAAAGCAUGGUCUUGUAAAUCCAAGUUAAUGAUCUUUAUUCAAAUGA